rnacentral:lncRNA from 1 species
ACCAGGAGGUGCUGAGAGGAAGGUCAAAGUGCAAGUGUAUCAUGCUGCACAUGCAUUUUUGGGAUGUGUGCCUGGUCAGAAUUUGCCAGUCACCAGAACAUCGGCAGUAUGUGUUGAGUCCCUUUGAGUCCUUUUUACAUUCAUUUCUAAGAGGAAAAUGGCCAAUAUCAGGAGUCACUGAGUGUCUCCAAAUUGCAGCUGUGGUUGCCUACUCAAAUUACUAGGAAAUUGGAGCCGAGUUUUUAGCAAACUCGAAAAUUAUUGUACAGCAA